AAGUCGUAACAAGGUUUCCGUAGGUGAACCUGCGGAAGGAUCAUUACAACGUAUCCACGUACAAACUCACGAACUGUUCCCUUUAGAGUAAACAACUUGUGGAUGAAGUUAAUGGCUGACAUGCUCUUGCUGAUGGAGUUCUGGAUUUUAAUCUAACCCCAUGUAAAUUUUGAACUGAACUUGUAACAGAGUUCUGCGGCUGUUCUUGUUGGCUUCGGUCACGGACGGCAUCAACGCAACUCAGUUAUUUCUUUACAAAACAAAGAACAACUCUUAACAACGGAUAUCUUGGUUCUC
rnacentral:misc_RNA from 1 species